AACGGCCGUACCGUGCUGAAUAUACCGGUUCUCGUUAGAUCACCGAAGUUAAGCAUCAUUGGGCGCGGUCAGUACUUGGGUGGGUGACCACUUGGGAACACUGCGUGCCGUU
rnacentral:rRNA from 1 species